rnacentral:rRNA from 1 species
CUGGGUGUAAGGGUGCGCAGGCGGGUUGUCAAGUUGGGUGUGAAAUCUCUGGGCUUAACUCAGAGUUUGCAUUCAAAACUGGCGAUCUUGAGUGAGGUAGAGGCAGGCGGAAUUCCCGGUGUAGCGGUGAAAUGCGUAGAGAUCGGGAGGAACACCAGUGGCGAAGGCGGCCUGCUGGGCCUUAACUGACGCUGAGGCACGAAAGCAUGGGUAGCAAACAGGAUUAGAUACCCUGGUAGUCCAUGCUGUAAACGAUGAUUGCUAGGUGUGGGUGGACUGACCCCAUCCGUGCCGGAGUUAACACAAUAAGCAAUCCACCUGGGGAGUACGGCCGCAAGGUUGAAACUCAAAGGAAUUGACGGGGGCCCGCACAAGCAGUGGAGUAUGUGGUUUAAUUCGAAGCAACGCGAAGAACCUUACCAGGUCUUGACAUCCACCGAAUCCGGAAGAGAUUCUGGAGUGCCCUUCGGGGAACGGUGAGACAGGUGGUGCAUGGUUGUCGUCAGCUCGUGUCGUGAGAUGUUGGGUUAAGUCCCGCAACGAGCGCAACCCUUGUUAAUAGUUGCUACGCAAGAGCACUCUAUUAAGACUGCCGUUGAGAAAACGGAGGAAGGUGGGGAUGACGUCAAAUC